rnacentral:tRNA from 1 species
GAGUGUGUAGCUCAAGUGGUAGAGUGCGUGCUUGGCAUACACAAGGUCCUGGGUUCAAUCCCCAGUACCCCUU